AUUGAACGCUGGCGGCCGGCCUAACACAUGCAAGUCGAACGAGUGGCGGACGGGUGAGUAAUGUCUGGGAAACUGCCCGAUGGAGGGGGAUGACUACUGGAAACGGUAGCUAAUACCGCAUAACAUCGGAUGUGACCAGAUGGGAUUAGCUUGUAGGUGGGGUAACGGCGCACCUAGGCGACGAUCCCUAGCUGGUCUGAGAGGAUGACCAGCCACACUGGAACUGAGACACGGUCCAGACUCCUACGGGAGGCAGCAGUGGGGAAUAUUGCACAAUUGGCGCAAGCCUGAUGCAGCCAUGCCGCGUGUAUGAAGAAGGCCUUCGGGUUGUAAAGUACUUUCAGCGGGGAGGCGUUACCCGCAGAAGAAGCACCGGCUAACUCCGUGCCAGCCGCCGCGGUAAUAC
rnacentral:rRNA from 1 species